AUCGGCUAACUCCGUGCCAGCAGCCGCGGUAAUACGGAGGAUCCGAGCGUUAUCCGGAUUUAUUGGGUUUAAAGGGUGCGUAGGCGGCAGUUUAAGUCAGGAGUGAAAGACGGUGGCUCAACCAUCGCAGUGCUCUUGAUACUGAACUGCUUGAAUGACAUUGAAGACGGCGGAAUGAGACAAGUAGCGGUGAAAUGCAUAGAUAUGUCUCAGAACCCCGAUAGCGAAGGCAGCUGUCUAAACGUUUAUUGACGCUGAUGCACGAAAGCGUGGGGAUCGAACAGGAUUAGAUACCCUGGUAGUCCACGCCCUAAACGAUGAUGACUCGAUGUUUGCGAUACAGUGUAAGCGUCCAAGCGAAAGCGUUAAGUCAUCCACCUGGGGAGUACGCCCGCAAGGGUGAAACUCAAAGGAAUUGACGGGGGCCCGCACAAGCGGAGGAGCAUGUGGUUUAAUUCGAUGAUACGCGAGG
rnacentral:rRNA from 1 species